GAGCCAUCUGUCAGGCACCAGAGGGCAAUUUUCAGGAGAGGAAUUUAUCAUGGUCUGAGUGAGGGGCUGAUGGAGUUCAGCUAAAGCGAGAUGUGACAAGGAUUGUCCAUGUACCCAUGAAAGCAGCUACUUGGCAGUUUUAGCUGGAAGGCCACAAUUUUUGAUUCUGACAGUCUUGUCUUUUUCUGUUCUUCAGCAACGCACUGGAGCUGAUAUAUUCUGAUGCCAGAAUCAGUGAUGUAAGUUAAUCUUUCCUGAGCCAUCGUCUUCUUCCUCUCAAAGAUGUCCUUUUGGGAAUGAUGUCUACAUGUUACAAGUGUAAACAGGGAAGGGGGGCUAGCUCUGUGGUGGGGCACAUGUUUUGCAGGGGGAAGUCCCUUUCAACCUCCCUGUAGGGGUGGAUGAGACCUUUCUCUGUCUAAAACACUGGAGAGUUACGAAUGCUCCCUGUGGACAAUAUUGGACAGAUCUAUGGUCAGAUCCUGCAUAGGGCAGUUUCUUAUGCUUGGAUAUCCACUCUCCACCUCUUUGCUCCCUUGCAGGUUUCCAGUCUUGAAUCCCAUUGCGGCAAAUUGCUGGGAGAAACCGUUUUGCCAGUUUUCAACAGCAACCUUGCUUUUGGAUUCCCUAUACCUUCAAUCUUUGGCGCUGAUCUCAUUAAUCCCACGUUCUUCUUUAUUGAGGGUGUCCUUUUGGUUGGCUUUUGAGCCGGAGGAUGCACAGAAGUCUCCGGGACCAGAAGGGAGGAGCGACCGGCACACAGAGAGAAGAACCCCUGACAUCCAGUUUUCCCUUUCCCCAUUCUCAGGAGACCCAAUAGGAUUCCGUCUCCUAGACUUCCUUGAAUAAAUAUCCUGGUUUUGGCUGGCAAGAUGUAUUAGAAUUUCUUUCCACUUUUUCAGGAGGUGGGUUUGGGUAGGGAUAAGCCCACUGAUAUUCACAGGCUUA
ensembl:lncRNA